GAUGAACGCUGGCGGCGUGCCUAAUACAUGCAAGUCGAGCGAACGGACGAGAAGCUUGCUUCUCUGAUGUUAGCGGCGGACGGGUGAGUAACACGUGGAUAACCUACCUAUAAGACUGGGAUAACUUCGGGAAACCGUAGCUAAUACCGGAUAAUAUUUUGAACGGCAUGGUUCAAAAGUGAAAGACGGUCUUCCUGUCACUUAUAGAUGGAUCCGCGCUGCAUUAGCUAGUUGGUAAGGUAACGGCUUACCAAGGCAACGAUGCAUAGCCGACCUGAGAGGGUGAUCGGCCACACUGGAACUGAGACACGGUCCAGACUCCUACGGGAGGCAGCAGUAGGGAAUCUUCCGCAAUGGGCGAAAGCCUGACGGAGCAACGCCGCGUGAGUGAUGAAGGUCUUCGGAUCGUAAAACUCUGUCAUUAGGGAAGAACAUAUGUGUAAGUAACUGUGCACAUCUUGACGGUACCUAAUCAGAAAGCCACGGCUAACUACGUG
rnacentral:rRNA from 1 species